CAGUAGCCGCGGGAAUACGUAGGUGGCAAGCGUUGUCCGGAAUUAUUGGGCGUAAAGGGCUCGCAGGCGGUUUCUUAAGUCUGAUGUGAAAGCCCCCGGCUCAACCGGGAAGGGUCAUUGGAAACUGGGAAACUUAAGUGCAGAAGAGGAGAGUGGAAUUCCACGUGUAGCGGUGAAAUGCGUAGAGAUGUGGAGGAACACCAGUGGCGAAGGCGACUCUCUGGUCUGUAAUUGACGCUGAGGAGCGAAAGCGUGGGGAGCGAACAGGAUUAGAUACCCGCGUAGUCCCUGUCUCUUAUAC
rnacentral:rRNA from 1 species